AUGGGCUCAGCAGGGCACGGGUGGGCAUGGAGGAUGGGGAUGAACCCAAAUGGGGCAGCGAGGGCACCAGGAACUGCUGCUGGCUUCACCCUGCUGGCUUGGACUCUUUGCUGCUCCAACCCUGGCUGUGCAGGAGGAAGAUGCCGGAGGACAGCAUGUCCCGGGCACAGAACAGCUCUCAGGCCUCCAGAUUUAACUAAAUUGGGCCAUAAAUCACCCUCUGGGGAGCAGGGGGGGUACACUCAGUGCUGCCAAAGAUGGGGUAGCCGCUGGGCGCAGCCUGGUGGCCCAGGGCAUGGCCGUCCCCAGGGACCGGAGCCUGACGCCGCGGGGUCGGUGCUGGGAGCCGCCUGGGUUUAUUUCUGCUGUGGCCUCUCCGGGAGCCACAUCCUGCCGGCCACCACGGCUGGGAGACGUGCAGGAAGAUCUGCUUGGAGGCAAAACCCCGGGGGUGGACAGGGGAUGGAGGCCAUGAGCUGCUGGUGGAGAGCAGGGGAUGGAGCUGGGAGCACGGAGCUGCCGUGCGGGGAGGAGAGCGGGGGGCACCGCCUGGUGCAGCGCCGCAGGCUGGGCCCUGGGGUGCCUCGGAGGAGCUGCUGCAAUGGAAUACCUGGCAGGGCAUUUGGUCCGAGGGGGAAUUUCCACAGGAAACCUCUGCUUUCAUCCUCCCAGAUACGGCUGAAAGCAACCCUAGCGAACCCUUGGGCUCAGCAGCCAGGAAGCGUUGAAGCCCGGGCAGGAGCUCUUUGUUCCCUCGCAUCGUUCAUCCAGCUGGGGAAAAAAAAACACAAACCAAACCAAAACAAACAACAAACAGCCAGCUUUCUGCUCACGGAAAAACACGGAGAAACAACAGGCAGCGCGGGGGCCGCAACGCCACCAGGAGCCCUCCACCAGCCCCAUAAAUGCUGCUGCACUCAGGGGUCCCGUUCAGCACCCCCGGCCCAGCCGGCACCGAGGGCAGGAGCAUCUGGCCGGGGGUGUCGGGAGCGGGGGCUCAGCGGGAGCGCUCGACCCCCUCCUCGCCCCGGUGCCGCUGCGCAUCCCCGCGCUCCCCAGGUUGCCACAGAAACGGCUCCGGCUCGGCCGGCUCCUGCCAUAAAUACGCCACCGCCACGGGUCAGCCCGGUUCAGCACCGCCAACCCAGCCCACGGCGAGGCCUCGUGGAGCUGGGGGUGCCCGGUGUGGGGUGCACCCGGUGUGGGGUGCACCUNNNNNNNNNNCAUGGGGGGGAGCUGGGGCCGAGCACUGAGCUGUGCACAGAGCCCGGGGCAAAUGUCCCUGUGUCCCUCGGGCACACGGUGCCCCGUGCCAGGGAGGAGCGAGGUGCCCGGAGGAGCUGCUCCUCAGCCCGCUGGAGGUGCCCCGGGCUUUGCAAUCCAAACCUGAAGCAUUUUGGAAACCCCAACGGCACCCCAGAGGUACGGGGAUGGGGUCCCCUAGGAGGCCAGCUCCAUCGGCCGGAGGAGCAGGAACCCCGCUGGGGCAGCUGCCCCGGGGGCCGGGCUGGGCGAGGGGCAGGCUUGUGGUUUUCCUGCCUCAUUGGAGCCGCCGGAGUCAUUGCAACAGCAGUCAGGGAGCGGAGGCGCACGGCCCAGAGGCCCUGCACGUGCCCUUCUGCUCGCUCCGGGCUCACGCAGGAGCUGGGCACCCCCGGGCAGUGCUGCAGAGGGCACGGCAGGGCCGGCGCUGGCACCCCAAAACAGCCCCCAACCUCCUCCAGUACGGGGUGCGCACAGAAACCCUUUGGGGUGCAGGGAGGGGAUGCAGCAUCCCCCUAA
rnacentral:lncRNA from 1 species